rnacentral:rRNA from 1 species
UCCGUAGGGUGAACCUGCGGAAGGAUCAUUACAGAAUGAAAAGUGCUUAACUGCAUUUUUUCUUACACAUGUGUUUUUCUUUUUUUGAAAACUUUGCUUUGGUAGGCCUUCUAUAUGGGGCCUGCCAGAGAUUAAACUCAACCAAAUUUUAUUUAAUGUCAACCGAUUAUUUAAUAGUCAAAACUUUCAACAACGGAUCUCUUGGUUCUCGCAUCGAUGAAGAACGCAGCGAAAUGCGAUAAGUAAUAUGAAUUGCAGAUAUUCGUGAAUCAUCGAAUCUUUGAACGCACAUUGCGCCCUUUGGUAUUCCAAAGGGCAUGCCUGUUUGAGCGUCAUUUCUCCCUCAAACCCUCGGGUUUGGUGUUGAGCGAUACGCUGGGUUUGCUUGAAAGAAAGGCGGAGUAUAAACUAAUGGAUAGGUUUUUUCCACUCAUUGGUACAAACUCCAAAACUUCUUCCAAAUUCGACCUCAAAUCAGGUAGGACUACCCGCUGAACUUAAGCAUAUCAAUAGGCGGGAGGA